rfam:Daucus carota subsp. sativus cultivar DH1 chromosome 2, whole genome shotgun sequence.
AUACCUUUCUCGGCCUUUUGGCUAAGAUCAAGUGUAGUAUCUGUUCUUAUCAGUUUAAUAUCUGAUAUGUGGGCCAUUGGUUCACACGAUAUUAAAUUUAUGUUUUGAGAGGGAAGUCCCGUCACAAUAGCUUGCUAUUGGGGGCUUCGCGAGUCGCCUAUGCGUUGCACGACAGCUUUGGCCUGAGUGGCUCACCCCAC